CGCCGGCCGCCGGCCCUCGCCUUCGGUUUCUGCGUGACACAGCCAGAUCAACUAGGUGAAUGAUAUAGGAGUGAACAAGUUCAUCAGCACAAACGAAAACGGGCAGGGUUGUGUAUUUGCAAGGUAGCAGCCGGCGACGUGUCUUCGUAGCACAGGUAGAAACUGUGGAUGGCACCGUGAAGUUAAGAGAGAAACUGGAGCAGGAUCUUUUGUUUGUGCACAUUGAUGUGUCAUGACGUGAGGAGGGAUAUUAAUGGUUGUUGGGAUAAUUGCAUGAACAUGACCAUGGCCAUCAUGCUUAGGUAGGGACCAAGAACGUGGUCAUUAGAUAUCUUGUGGAUCAAUAUAAUUAGUACUCAAGCUAGCAGCACGGAGCACUCAGGUCUGAUUUCACUUUCUUUUUUUUUUCUAGAAAAAAUGUGAUGGUUAUACACCUUGCUUUUUACAAUUCUGGACAGGGGAUAUGGACCCUCUGGAGGUAGUGCCUGUAAGAUUUCACUUUGGAGGCGAAUUUGAUUUUGAUGGUUACUCAUUGAACUAUGUGCGUGGUAGAAUUGCAUUGUCACACAUAGAGAGGGAUAAGCUAUCACUGCCAGAGUUGAGGGGUUUUCUUAGUGACCCUGUCAAUUUGACAGUUGAGGAUGUUGAUUUUCAUUGGCUGCCCCCCGGAGCUGAUAUGAGUAACGGUGUGAGGAGCUUAGCUGAUGAUCAGAGUUGCAGAAAUGCUUUGCAAUUUGGAAUGGGAAGGAUGGCUUUGAGGUGAAAGUGUGGGACAAGAGGUUCAAAAUUGAUGUAGAGAGAAGAACUUGUUCUUGCAAAUACUGGCAGCUGGCAGGUAUCCCUUGUGCUCAUGCUAUCACUGCACUUUAUCUCAGUUCUAAACCACCUGAAGAUUACAUAGCUGACUGCUAUUCAGUUGAGCACUACAACAAGACAUAUGAUCACUGCAUGAUGCCAAUGGAGGGAAUGCAACAGUGGCCAAGAGGUCACGGCAAGCCUAAGCCUCCAGCCUAUGUGAAGAUGCCAGGUAGGCCGAGAAAGGAGAGAAGAAGGGAACCUAGUGAAGCAAAAAAGGCCACAAAGGUCUCUAGGGUGGGCUCGAGAGGUAACUGUAGCAAGUGUCAUCAACCAGGUCACAACAUUCGAAGAUGUGGAGCAAAGUCUAAAUCAAAGAAGAGAAACAUCAUGGAGAAAGGCAAAGAGGCAAGUAACAUUUCUCAUUCUUUUGCUAUACAAUUAAUUAUUAUUUAAGUGUUGUUAACUGAAAUUAUUGUUCCAGGUUUGGAGUGCAGUGGGCCAAAAAAAGUCCAGAAACAAUGCAGCAGCUCCAGGCAACACUCAAGAUGAGGCAUCUAAUAUGCCUUCCCAGAGCAGCUUCAACAGUACUGCGAGCAAGAAGAAGAAACUAGCUGCUGCAAAGCAAAAGAAAAAAACUUCCAGGCAGUAACAUGCUAUGUUGGUAGCAUAU